UGUGUCUUAUUUUAUCAGUUAUUAUGAUCAAACAAAAGGUCAAACAAAUGCUAUGAUAGAGAAACUGCAAAACAUCAUUAGAUAAUCUAUGUAUACGUAUAUGUAAAUUUUUACAUAAUACCCUAUAACAUAUACAACAGAAUGGAAAUAGCCAAAAACUGAAAACAUAAACUGAAAACAUG